CCACUUCCUUAAUUGCAUCACUUUAAAUUUAAUAUAGCUUUUAUUAUACAUUCAUAUUUUUUAAAGCUUUCAAAACCACUUUUCUAAGAAAAAAACCCCCCGAAAUUCCUUUCUUUUACUCCCCAAAAAUCCCCCUUUUCAGCUAGGAUUUCACAAACCCAUCAUCGCCGUCGUUCACCAUGCCGAACGGAGAGGAGGACUCCGACGACGAGCCACAAGGUGGAUCCGGCAUAGAGUGGUGGAGGCAAGUGGGUGUGCUGGUGGCAGACAACUGGUAGUGGCGGGCCAAGGUGGGGCGGCGGCUAGGGUUCUUCUCCUCCCUUUUUUGCUGAAAAUUGUUUAGGUUUGGGCUGGGCUUAGGGUUUUAGUCUGUUGGGCUAAAUUGGGUUUGGUUAGGGUUAGUUUAAGUUGGGCCAAAAUUGGGCCUCAACAUAUAAUAUAUUGGGUGAAAAUGUUAUGUUAUGUUUUAAAUUAAUACACCAUAUAUUUAGAGAUCUA